AUGGCCAUCAUCCUGGUCCAGGAGCAAGAUCUUCCAAAGACUAGCAGCACACUGGGGUGGUAUGACAUUCUUCAACUUAGAGUCCAUCAGAAGAAAAACAGAAGGAGCAAAUCGUUAGCAGUUCCAUCUAAGGGAUAUUUGGUCUGGAGGAUGAGGGCUCAGAGGAUAAAACAACAUCUGAGAAGUGCGCAGGGACAUGAAUAUCUCCCUCAUGGAGACCUUAGUGCUAUGCUGGGCUGUUGCUUGUCCGCAGCAUUUCUUCAGUGUGUAAGAUGCCUGAGAAGAGGCGUCUGGAAGAGAAGGGUUUCUGAAUAAAAAUGGGUCACAGAUUUAGUGGAAGAUCA
rnacentral:lncRNA from 1 species